rnacentral:lncRNA from 1 species
GUGCGAGAAAAGGAAGUCUUUUUGAUGGUUUUCUACAUCUAAUUUUCUCUGAUAAGUUUAUCUUUAAGUAAAAUAAGGGUGAGAAAAGUUAGAGUCAAAUUAAAAUUCAAAAUAAUUUGAAUUGAAAUAAACUCCAGCUCUUAUCCUAUCUUACUUGGUUUGUGCGACAACUAUUAAAAGGCCAUAAUUUUAUGUUCCAACAAGAGAGAACUUUUUACCAUGA